AUCUUUGUGUAGUGUAAGUGUGAUCAUUGGAUUUGCAUGCUCAUGUGUGAUAUGUGCCUCCCUCAAACCUUGUUAUGACACCAGCACAUUUUUCGUAUGACA
ensembl:snoRNA